rnacentral:rRNA from 1 species
GAUGAACGCUGGCUACAGGCUUAACACAUGCAAGUCGAGGGGAAACGACGGGGAAGCUUGCUUCCCCGGGCGUCGACCGGCGCACGGGUGAGUAACGCGUAUCCAACCUGCCUCUGACUGAGGGAUAACCCGUCGAAAGUCGGCCUAAUACCUCAUGGUAUCGUCUGCGGGCAUCCAACGACGAUUAAAGAUUUCAUCGGUCAGGGAUGGGGAUGCGUCUGAUUAGCUUGGUGGCGGGGUAACGGCCCACCAAGGCUACGAUCAGGAGGGGUUCGGAGAGGAAGGUCCCCCACAAUGGAACCGAGACACGGUCCAAACUCCUACGGGAGGCAGGAGUAAGGAAGAUUGGGCAAUGGGCGAGGGCCUGAACCAGCCAAGUAGCGUGCAGGAAGACGGGCCUAUGGGUUGUAAACUGCUUUUAUGCGGGGGUAAAGUGAGGGACGUGUCCCUCAUUGCAGGUACCGCAUGAAUAAGGACCGGCUAAUUCCGUG